CGCUGCUGGAGAAGCAGGGAGGGGUGUCUGCCCUGCCAGAGACCGUCCAACCGGGAGGCGGCUCAGGAAACCACCCCAAUGCUACGCGUGCCCACCCCUGCUGGCCUGGGUCAGCGCACGCAGACCAAGCCCAUCUUUUACAGUUUCCCCACGCAAACUGGCUGAAGGGGCUACCCUUGACUAGUCCCUUUGCACAUUCUCUACAAUUGGUUUGAGUCCAGGGCAGACCCCUGACUUUUCUCCUACUGCCCACCAGCUGUGUGCAGAGGGCAAGCAAAAGAACUUAAAUAUUAGCUCAGGAAAACAAACAGGCCCGUAAAGCUCCCCGCCCUCCCUCGACCUCUUCAGUCAAACCCGACACGGUGUCUGUGAGGUCAUCUCCUACGGUGCACACGCCUGCACCGCUUUCCAUUGCAGUGCCUGAGGCCUGGAGUGGGAAGCACUCUAGCCAGAGGGCAAAUGCCCUUGCCGUGGAGACUGUUCUAAAUUUUCGAGUCUAAAACAGAGCUGCUCAAACUUCAGGAUACCUUCGAACCCGCGGGAGGGCUUGUUAAAACGCUGAUCGCUGGGCCUCACCCCCAGAGUGCCUGAUUCAGUAGGUCUGGGGUAAGACCCAACAAUUUGCAUUUUUCACAAGUUCCCAGGGGCUGCUGCUGCUGCUGGUCCCGGGACUACACCUUGAGAAGCACUGCUCAAAAGUGUAAGGGGCACUGGGCUCCUGGGUUUGAUCCUAAAAUGGCGCUGCUGGCUAAUGGCAGCGUUCAGGGGUUGCUGGAGAAUAAACAGGAGCUAUAGCGUUGGAGCCAAAGCUAGCUGAGGCCUCUGGGUUCAACCAGCCUGCUUUACUGAGCAUCUGCUUGUCACCGUGCUGCAGACGUUGUCCACACGCGGCCCAUAGACUCUUGGCUUUACUACUUCAGUGCACAAAGGUAGCCUGACUUCCAGAUGCCAGCACCUGUGUUUCUUUGCUUGGGGGCUUUUUCCAGCUGCUGGAGCGCACCCAGCCUGCAGGCAGUGCAGCUGCAAGGCCCGGAAUUGAAGUCUCCCCAGGAACAUCCUCAACCAAGACUGUUAGUGGUUGGGGGAUAAAGACCCCAGCUGCCUCCUCCCAGGUGUGGUAACUUGGAGGCGUGCUCUCGACCAUCUCUCAGAGGCCGUCACAGGACUGAGCCUCAGUUGCCCACAGUGGUAACUGGCUUGAAAACACACCCUAUCUUUCUGCCCUCCCUCUCCUGGCUCACGUCCUCACUCCCCUGGUCAGAUUUUCCUGGGAUCACCCCCUAAAUAAACGACUUGCAC
rnacentral:lncRNA from 1 species